AGAGAUCACAAUAUUUUCCUUUUGGGAUAACUGCAGAGAGCUGGGUAGACUCUUACCUUCUCUGAGAAACAUUCACAAGAGAAAAACUGCAGGCUGGACAAAACAGAUUUUCUUUGCUUUUGACAUUUUCCACUACUCUCUAUUUUCCAGCUCUUUCUUUGCUCUGAUGUGCAUCCUCUCUCAGCUUUUCUGCUGCGGUUAUAUGCCCAUAAUAUCUUCACAGUCCCAGUUAUAUCUGCAUUUGCCAGGGCAACAGACUGAAAGAAGUCUAUGACAACAACUCUAGGAUCUUGGAUAGUCUCUGUCCCAUCCCAGUGUGCUUUCUCUGCAGGGAAGGAGUGUAGAGGACCGGUUCUCUACAUGUGGUUUUGUCUCGACAUUGCUGCUGCUGCUGCUGCAAAGCCGCUGCUGCCAAGGCGCGUUGGGCAAUGCCGUGCUGGUGCCCCCGGGAGCCGUCCGCGAGGUAAACAACCUCGUGCACCUGCACGAGGUAAAAAGGGUGCGAAAAGGGCAGAAGGUCAUCUCUAGGGCAUGAACCGCAUGUACUCAUUUGCCAUCUGCGCAUGAGCAGGAGACCCCCAGAUGCCCCAGCCCGUUUCUGGAAGGUUCCGAGAGGGCGGACUGCGCAUGACAGUUAAUCUGCAUGGGAAGUGAGGAAGCACCUCCCAGAGGUGGGGCAAGAACCUAUAACAACUGCAGACGGCGUGAAUAGAGGGGGGGCUUGUUUGCGACGACUGAGGAACUCGAGCAGAGUUAGCGGAACCAGACGGGAGUUUCCCACCGCUGUCCCCCCGCCCCCGCCACCGAGACUCCCAAGAGAAGAGGACCAACGGGAUGCCGCUGGAUCCACGGGUGGUGAUAUCUAUCUUUCUCUCUCUCUCUCUCUCUCUCUCUGUCUUCUCCUUUUCCUCUUUUUUCCCUAAACGUGUGAUGCGGGACGUGUCUAGUUAGUUGAUUCCUUAAUAAAUCUUAAAAUUGGU